rnacentral:rRNA from 1 species
UAGGGAAUCUUCCGCAAUGGGCGAAAGCCUGACGGAGCAACGCCGCGUGAGUGAUGAAGGUCUUCGGAUCGUAAAACUCUGUUAUUAGGGAAGAACAAAUGUGUAAGUAACUAUGCACGUCUCGACGGUACCUAAUCAGAAAGCCACGGCUAACUACGUGCCAGCAGCCGCGGUAAUACGUAGGUGGCAAGCGUUAUCCGGAAUUAUUGGGCGUAAAGCGCGCGUAGGCGGUUUUUUAAGUCUGAUGUGAAAGCCCACGGCUCAACCGUGGAGGGUCAUUAGAAACUGGAAAACUUGAGUGCAGAAGAGGAAAGGGGAAUUCCAUGUGUAGCGGUGAAAUGCGCAGAGAUAUGGAGGAACACCAGUGGCGAAGGCGACUUUCUGGUCUGUAACUGACGCUGAUGUGCGAAAGCGUGGGGAUCAAACAGG